rnacentral:miRNA from 1 species
AAGAGUUUGUUCGGGUUUCUC